UACGGGGGGGGCAAGCGUUGUUCGGAAUUACUGGGCGUAAAGGGCGCGUAGGCGGGUCGCUAAGUCCGGGGUGAAAGCCCCCAGCUUAACUGGGGAAGUGCCUCGGAUACUGGCGGCCUCGAGGGGGAUAGGGGCCCGCGGAACUUCGGGUGGAGCGGUGAAAUGCGUUGAUAUCCGAAGGAACGCCGGUGGCGACAGCGGCGGGCUGGAUCCCUUCUGACGCUGAGGCGCGAAAGCCAGGGGAGCAAACGGG
rnacentral:rRNA from 1 species